UACGUAGGCAGCGAGCGUUGUUCGGAAUUACUGGGCGUAAAGAGUGUGUAGGCGGUGCUCCAAGUCUGUUGUGAAAUCUCCCGGCUUAACUGGGAGGGUGCGGCGGAAACUGGUGUGCUAGAGGGUGGGAGAGGUAAGCGGAAUUCCUGGUGUAGCGGUGAAAUGCGUAGAUAUCAGGAGGAACACCUGUGGUGUAGACAGCUUACUGGACCACUUCUGACGCUGAGACACGAAAGCGUGGGUAGCAAACAGG
rnacentral:rRNA from 1 species